GAUGUUUGUUUGGACACAAUUUGG
rnacentral:siRNA from 1 species